UUUGCAUUCGUAAGUUCAUAACUGAAACCAAAAGUCUCAUAUGGGUUAUCAGCUUUCAACGCACCACACUGACUUUUAGAGGCUGAAUCAGGUUGAGAGCAGACUUGAGUGAAACCAUGCAGAGAGUGACUCUGACGAUCAUUCUCCUUUUACUCUGUGCUGGGCUUCCAGGUGACUGUGGAGUAAUAGAGUUUCCCGUACUCCAUUCUGAUAUAACCGGCUGCAUGAAAAUGACAUGUGCCAGGAGUAUCAAUGCCUGUGUGGACACACAUGGACAGGCCCCCACAGAACAGCUCAAAGGUUGUGUUGUCCACAAAUGUAGGAAAAUCACCAACCGCUGUGUAGAUCAGUUCUUCCAACAGUACCUACCCCUGUUAUUGGCACAAAAUCCAAAAGUUGCCUCAAUUGUCGAACCAAAUGCCGAGCUUUUCAUGGCUGAAAUGACAGAUGCUUAUCUUGAAUGCUGGCUCAGGACGACAGACUCCGAAGUCGGAGGUUGUUAUAUGGGCAGACUCAUUGAUAAGGCACAGCCGUUCAUUACCCCGUUGUUUGCAUUGACCUUUGAUGAUCCAGAAAAAAGGGCAGAGAGAGAGAUGAAAGACAAUAUGUUACGUUACAUGACGUGCAUGAGCAAACCUAUGACAAACUGGAACUGGUGUAAAGGACUCUUUGAUGAUCUUCUUGCUUCAUCACCAAAGAGGAAACGACAGUACAAAGACUUCCUCAUCUGUUCAAUCCACGGUGGGAUUACUGCAACAGCGAAAUGCUAAAACUUGUUUUACGAGGGGACGGUUAUGCAUUUGCAGGUUUCCAAAGCAACAGGUGACCAGUAGAAACACGACAAAAAACAACAAAAAAAAAGAAUAACAUAUUUUGAAUGAAUCAUCCACAAACACAAGAGUUUGUGUUUAUAAUUUAUGAAAAUCAUUAUUUAGUUUUAUCUUUAACAUUUUGAAACUAUUAUAUGUAAAGCACUAAUACUGUCUUUUAUUACAUAGACAAUGAAUAAACAUAUCAAUCGCAAUUAAAUGUUCAACUUUGGAUACAAAACACACAUGGGAUUGUUUUUCAAAUCCACAACAAUGACUUCACAGUGUUUGCAACCCACUGUAUUUAACGUGUCCACAGUAUUUUAGUGUCCACAUUAUUAUACAGUGUCCACAGUAUUAGUGUCCACAGUAU
ensembl:lncRNA